rnacentral:tRNA from 1 species
AGGGGUCUGACUCAGGGAUCGAGUGUCACCGUGACGUGGUGGAGUUCGUAUCCCUAAAGUCAAUCUGGCUUU